UAAUAAAUUAAAUUUAAAGUGACUGUAUUUUAUCCAAACAUGCAUGAAGGACUUCACAACUAAAAUGAUCCAAUAAAUCAGUUUUUUUUUCUAAAUUCAGUUUUUUCUUCCCAUUUUUCAGUGACAAUCAUACACAGUCCUGCAGUAACCGAUACCCACAGAUAAAGAAAUCUAAAGCCAAAGCAACAGAUUGACACAUUCUUCUGCAGAGCAUUUAUGCUGUCUGUCAUUUUGCCAAGGCCACUAACACAGAGAGGGAUGGCUGUUUCCAGGCAACUGGGCAGCCAGCAUCUAACCACCAUCAUCCAAUCACCUUCGCCAAUUCCCACUUUAGCCAAUCACGACUGAAGUCAAGCAGAAGCAGUUUAACGGGGCAGCAGCUAAAGAAAACAGGAACACUUGACCCUUCAGGUACAGAGGAAGUGGAGCCCACCGGGAACCUCUCAUCCGCUCGUUCUGUUCGUUUUUGUUUCUCUGAUCUGUUGCAACGACUCAAACCUGAUCACUUCACAGCCUUGUGAAUAUUCAGCUCUGUUACUCAUCUGCAUCUGUUGUCUUUUAGGUUUAUUCUGAGCAGAAGAGGAACGCUGUGUGAGGGCCUGAGAUAGUCUAACAUGUCAGACUCUCAAAAAAAAACAGACCAAGCUUUCAUAAAAAGUCCAGAUUUUAUGCUUUAUUGGAAUUUUUUUGUUCUAGUUUUAGUUUCUGUGUUUUACCUUUCUUUUUUUUGUUUUCAAGGUAAAUUCAGCUUUUUUUUUUAAAUCUUCUUACUAACUUUUUGUUACUGACUGUCAUGUCUGCACUGGUUUUCAACUGGUUUUAACCUGUGCAUCCUCUUACUGGUCUUUAUAUUUCUUCUUCUGGUUAUUCUUCUCAGUAUCUUUUAAGCACUGGUGCGCCGUGUGUUGGUGCAAGGGUUAACUACCACCUGCACUCAAGUAGUGAGUGUCCGUUUUCUAAAAUUUACGGUGAUGUUACAGAAAGCGGGAGCCCCCAGAUCCCCCCUGUGGAGAAGAGCACACGAAGGGGGAUCCCCUCCCGACAACCCGACACCGACCGCCCAUAAACGGCACCGGAGGAUCCAUCACAGGAUCCCCCGCCGCCAAAAAACAGGAGAACUAAGAAUGCAAGCCCCAGAAACUGGUCCCCAACAUAGUUCCAGGAGUCCAGUUUUAGGCCCCUCCAGCCCCACACGAGGGCCGUACUACCCCCCCAGAGACAGGACAGGGCCACCUAGAAGACACCUGCAGGAUUCUCCAGGCUGCUGCUGGAUCAGCGAGAGAGAUGAUAAACAGAAGACCUCAAGAUUAAAAAACCCAAAUGUA